rnacentral:rRNA from 1 species
AGAUUGAACGCUGGCGGCAGGCCUAACACAUGCAAGUCGAGCGGUAGAGAGGUGCUUGCAUCUCUUGAGAGCGGCGGACGGGUGAGUAAUGCCUAGGAAUCUGCCUAGUGGUGGGGGAUAACGUUCGGAAACGGACGCUAAUACCGCAUACGUCCUACGGGAGAAAGCGGGGGACCUUCGGGCCUCGCGCCAUUAGAUGAGCCUAGGUCGGAUUAGCUAGUUGGUGAGGUAAUGGCUCACCAAGGCGACGAUCCGUAACUGGUCUGAGAGGAUGAUCAGUCACACUGGAACUGAGACACGGUCCAGACCUCCGUACGGGAGGCAGCAGGUGGGGAAUAGUUGGAACAAGUGGGACGAAAGCUUAGACUCCAGCCCAGUCGCCGUCGGUGUGUAGAAAGUAAGGUUCUUCGGAUUAGUAAACGCUAACGUUUAAGGUGGGAAGGUAAGGUUUAGUAAC